CAGAACUUCCAGUACUAUGUUGAAUAGGAGUGGUGAGAGAGUGUAUCCUUGUCUUGUGCCAGUUUUCAAAGGGAAUGCUUCCAGAUUUCGCCCAUUCAGUAUGAUAUUGGCUGUGGGUUUUUCAUAUAUAGCUCUUCUUAUUUUGAGAUAUGUCCCACCAAUACCUAGUUCAUGGAGAGUUUUUAACAUGAGGGGAUGUUGAAUUUUAUCAAAGGCCUUUUCUGUGCCUAUUGAGAUAAUCAUGUGGUUUUUGUCAUUAGUUCUGUUUAUGUGAUGGAUUACAUUUAUUGAUUUGUGUAUGUUGGACCAGCCCUGCAUCUCACAGAUGAAGCUGACUUGAUCAUGAUGACUGCCUUUUCACUUAACUGUGUCCUCAUAUGGAAGAGAGGAGAAAAGAGGAGAGGAGGGGAGAGGCAAGUUCUCUUGUGUUUCUUCUUACAAAGCACAAAUGCCAUUAUGAGGGCCCCACCCUCAGGACCUCAUCUAAUCCUAAUUUCCUCCCAAAAUUAAAUCUCAAAUGUCAUCACAUUGUGGUUAGGAGUCAACACAUAAUUGGGGGUCAUGGUGGGGGAUUGCCUCCUUUACUGUAUGUUUUCCACUGAGAUGAAGAUUUUGGUCAUUUCCUCAUUCAUGUUCCUGCUUUUCAAAACCCAAGCAAGAAAGGAAACUUCUACAGUGACUUUCUCAUUAUGAAAUCUUAGCAUUCACUAGUCGGCCAUAAUGGAAAACCAGCCAAAUGGACACAUAUACACUGGUCUGUACCCGCAGAGAAAGAAAUGCAAAUCUCUGUGAUCAGAAAACUAUCCUAUCUUGUACAUUGUUAAAAGUCUGCCUCCAAAAAGUUUACUUCUGGAAUACUGUAAUUGAAUAGAAUCAGGGAUCCUACCUGUGUCCUUCAACUUUCACAUCUUGUCUACUCAAGUAAGGGUUGAAUUUGCAUGACUAUAUCUAAGGUUCGAGGGCUUACCUGUUGGCAGUAGACCCAGUAGUCUAUGAAUGGAAAUGGGCAAACCUGUGACCUCCCAAAACUUUAAUAUGAAAGUUUUGUUUGUGUAUACUCAUGGCAUUAUUCUUUUAAUAAAGAGAUAAUCUAUAUAGUUUUCUUUUUUAAAAGAUACUUUUAUUUCUUUAUUGUUGGGAACUGACACAGCUAAUUUCUUUCUGAAGAGGUUCUUUGGUUGAGAAUGG
rnacentral:lncRNA from 1 species